GACGAACGCUGGCGGCGUGCUUAACACAUGCAAGUCGAACGAAGAGCGACGGAAGCUUGCUUCUAUCAAUCUUAGUGGCGAUCGGGUGAGUAACGCGUAAUCAACCUGCCCUUCAGAGGGGGACAACAGUUGGAAACGACUGCUAAUACCGCAUACGAUCUAAUCUCGGCAUCGAGGAUGGAUGAAAGGUGGCCUCUACAUGUAAGCUAUCACUGAAGGAGGGGAUUGCGUCUGAUUAGCUAGUUGGAGGGGUAACGGCCCACCAAGGCGAUGAUCAGUAGCCGGUCUGAGAGGAUGAACGGCCACAUUGGGACUGAGACACGGCCCAGACUCCUACGGGAGGCAGCAGUGGGGAAUCUUCCGAAAUGGACGAAAGUCUGACGGAGCAACGCCGCGUGAGUGAUGACGGCCUUCGGGUUGUAAAGCUCUGUUAAUCGGGACGAAAGGCCUUCUUGCGAAUAGUGAGAAGGAUUGACGGUACCGGAAUAGAAAGCCACGGCUAACUACGUG
rnacentral:rRNA from 1 species